rnacentral:rRNA from 1 species
CGGGGUGCACCAGGCGCGAAAACUUUACAAUGCUGGAAACAGCGAUAAGGGGACCUCGAGUGCCAGGUUACAAAUCUGGCUGUCGUGAUGCCUAAAAAGCAUUGCAUAGCAAGGGCCGGGCAAGACCGGUGCCAGCCGCCGCGGUAACACCGGCGGCUCGAGUGGUAACCGUUAUUAUUGGGUCUAAAGGGUCUGUAGCCGGCCGGAUAAGUCUCUUGGGAAAUCCAGCAGCUCAACUGUUGGGCUUUCAGGAGAUACUGUCUGGCUCGAGGCCGGGAGAGGUGAGAGGUACUUCAGGGGUAGGGGUGAAAUCUUGUAAUCCUUGAAGGACCACCAGUGGCGAAGGCGUCUCACCAGAACGGACCUGACGGCAAGGGACGAAAGCUAGGGGCACGAACCGGAUUAGAUACCCGGGUAGUCCUAGCCGUAAACGAUACUCGCUAGGUGUCGGCCACGGUGCGACCGUCGUCGGUGCCGUAGGGAAGCCGUGAAGCGAGCCACCUGGGAAGUACGGCCGCAAAACGGAAACUUAAAGGAAUUGGCGGGGGAGCAC